CCAUUAGGUUCCCGACCACGAUGCCUGACGUCGUGAAAUAUUAUUUUGAUCUAAUCAAAAUUGAUAAAUUACUACACCCUUUUAAUUUAUCGUCAAUUCACAUUCGCCGUCCCUGAUUGACAUCUAGCAAUAUGUCAGGGCAAUACAUGUGACGGAAAAUGUCACGUGGUAUGACAAAACCAAAAUCGUUCGUUUAUCAUGGAACUAUUAUCCCUUCGUCAAUACGAUCCGAUCAAUUACGAGAUAUGGAAUUGUGUCAAUCCCGAAUAUCGAUCAUAUCUUUCACUCCACUAUUAAGUCAAUAUAAAUCGAAAACUCCUUUUCGACUUAUGAGUACACCUUGGCCAAGGAUUUCAUCAUCGACUUAAUAGAAU
rnacentral:lncRNA from 1 species